UGGGGAAUUUUGGACAAUGGGGGCAACCCUGAUCCAGCCAUGCCGCGUGUCUGAAGAAGGCCUUCGGGUUGUAAAGGACUUUUGUCAGGGAGCAAAUACUGCCUGUGAAUAAUGGGUGGGAAUGAGAGUACCUGAAGAAUAAGCACCGGCUAACUACGUGCCAGCAGCCGCGGUAAUACGUAGGGUGCAAGCGUUAAUCGGAAUUACUGGGCGUAAAGCGUGCGCAGGCGGUUUUGCAAGUCUGAUGUGAAAGCCCCGGGCUUAACCUGGGAACGGCAUUGGAGACUGCAAGGCUAGAGUACGUCAGAGGGGGGUAGAAUUCCACGUGUAGCAGUGAAAUGCGUAGAGAUGUGGAGGAAUACCGAUGGCGAAGGCAGCCCCCUGGGAUGAUACUGACGCUCAUGCACGAAAGCGUGGGGAGCAAACA
rnacentral:rRNA from 1 species